rnacentral:lncRNA from 7 species
AUUUGAAAUAAUAUUUUGGUGGCUUAAGAGCCGUGGUGUUGUUAGAGUGGCAGGGCCGAAGCUGGGCGGGCUCCCUCGGUGUUCCCGAGGCGGCGGCCCUGUGUGGGCCUCGAGUCUUCGGCGGCGGUCUGUGUGGGCCUCGAGUCUUCGGUGUGUACGUGUGGAGCUCAAGUAGGAGAGGACACGGAAUCACAGCGUGCCCCGAGUUGGAAGGGACCCGUGCGGAUCAUGGAUUCCAACUGCCAGCUCCACACGAGACCCUCCAAAAAUGAGCCCACGUGUCUGCGUGUGGUACAGAUGAUUCUUGAACUCGGUCAGCUCAGUGCCGUGACCACACGGCCUGUUCCACACCCACCACCCUCUGCUGCAGAACCUUUUCCUGAACGCCUUCUGCCCAAAGCAGACUUCUGUCAUCGUUUUCUAACUCAUGCUGGUGGGUGCCGGGGUGCUGCUGAGGGCUGCGAUUGACCAUCGCGAGGCUGUAGUCAUCUCUGGAAAGCCGGGUCCCAUCUGUGUGGUGUCCAGCUUCUUCCCUGAAGGUUUCACUUCGUACUCACAAGGCCCAGAUACAUCCCUGAUCUGAGACAGAGGGAUCACCAGAGGGAAGAAGGCUGAAAGAGUUUUAGCAGCUGGCUUGGUAAGUCUCACACGACCUUGCUUUGCCCCCGGACUCUUAAUUAUUUCUGUAGAGUACCAAGCUUUCUAAGAUUAACAACAAGUAUCUCUACCACUCAUUCUUUAAAAUAAAAUAAACAAUC